rnacentral:rRNA from 1 species
UACGAAGGGUGCAAACGUUGCUCGGAAUUAUUGGGCGUAAAGCGCACGUAGGCGGCUUAGCAAGUCGGAAGUGAAAUCCCUCGGCUCAACCAAGGAAGUGCUUUCGAAACUGCUGAGCUUGAGUACUUAAGAGGAUCGCGGAAUUCCCGGUGUAGAGGUGAAAUUCGUAGAUAUUGGGAGGAACACCAGUGGCGAAGGCGGCUCACUGGACCGGUACUGACGCUGAGGCGCGAAAGCGUGGGGAGCAAACAGG